rnacentral:tRNA from 1 species
GGCCGUUGGUCAAGGUGGUUAAGACACCGCCUUUCACGCGGUAAGCACGGGUCGAUCCCGUACGGGUCACCA